rnacentral:lncRNA from 10 species
CUCAUCUAAAGCUAUUAGGAAAGAGAAGCUCCUUUUGCACUGGAGAGUUCUGAGCUUGUGGAAUGUAAACUCUGGCUUGCUGGAGCCAUCUUGUCACCAUACUAGAGAAGCCUGUCAAGAAUGAACUCCAUACUAAGGAUCACAGGCCUGAGAUGUGAGGAUGGACAGAAUCCUGGUCUCUGGAUCAGGAGAAGUGCACUCAAGGAGCUGUACUUGUGGAAUUUCAGCUGAGGAGCCUGACCUAUAUUUGAACUUGAUUUAGACAAAGGGAUCCUGGAACAGCCUGAUGCCAUUCUAAAUGAUAUUUACAGGGGUCCUUGUGGGGUGGAGAUUGACGUAUUUUCACGAAGUGAGCAAACCUGUGUAAUCACCCUCCAGAUUCAGAACUUGAACACUG